GAGUUCCGGUGAGAGUACUUCCGCGGGGAGUUGAAAAAAGCCGGUCCGCUUGCUCCUUUUUUGCGAGUUUUCUAGCGUGAGGGCUGGUGUAACGCGGGCCAGCGGUAGGUUGGCAGGAAGGUAAAUAAAGGACAAGAAGUGUCAGGGCCUUCUGCUGUUGCGGCCCCCUCCACAGCCUCCUGCCUACAAACCGUUUUCCUCUGAAAUUCCCGCUUCCAGAUUAGCUUUUCUGUGUCAUCUGAGGAUUCAGCAUCCCCUGGAACUCUCUCACAUGGCAUGUGCAGUCUCAGUUCCCUGACCAGGGAUUGAAGCCGUGCCCCCUGCAAGUGGAAGCAUGAAGUCUUUAACUAUUGGAUUGCCAGAGAAGUGCCUGUUGUUCAUCUUUCACAUCAGAUAGUAUUUGGUGCCUGAUGUCUGAGUUAUGUUUGGUAGCCUCCACAAGCCAGUCAACCCUGGGAGACUGCCAGCACCUAGUUAUUGAGGCCCGAAAUAAUAAGGCCGGCUGGUGGUGAGCAGCCAGCCUUCCCCUGCAGCAAGCCCAUUCCCUGUUAACCUGCUCUCACCACAGAGGUCCUCUCCAAUCCUUUGACUCUGGGAUUUUCCAGCAUUUUGAUGAACUAGACUAUAUUGUUCUUUCCCUGACCUGGAAGAGGUCAGACCCCUAAGUUGGUGUUGGAAUUCAACUCCACUGUGUAGUGCCUGCCUCGUGAGUUGGUGCAACAGAUGAGCCUGAAUCAAAGCACGUGAUGACCACCACAACCACCGUUUCAGCUGGCAGGGAAAGCCAUAACCAUGUCUAAGAAUGAAUCUGAGAAUCCAUCCAAUCUAGAUGAAUUAGAUCUAGAAUUCUAGACCAGGGCUCAGCAAACUGUAGCCUGUGGAGCAAACAUGGCCAACCAUCUAUUUCUUUAAAUAAAGUUUUAUUGAACAC